rnacentral:lncRNA from 1 species
CGGGAUCCUAGGUCCUUGUAGCACCACUUGGAAGAGAGCAGCACACCAAUCAAGGAAGUACAUUUGGAUUUUCCUCAAUGAGAAGUGAAAACAGAAUGAGAAAGCACCGGCCGAGAACCAGGAAGUGGAUCCUCAAUGCAACACCAUCAUGCCAGCACUCUGACCUUGGACAGCCUCCAGAACCAUGAGAAACGAAUUUCUGUUGUUUAUGAACCACUCAUCUAUGCUAUUUUGUGACAGCAGCCCCAACAGAUCAUCACCAUUAUUUUCCAAUAAUGGUCCCUAAAAAAAUGGUCAUGUUCUAAUCCCC